rnacentral:antisense_RNA from 1 species
CUCAUGUGCACAGGAAGAGGUUCUAGUCCUCUGUAACAUAUCCCAAACAAAGCCAGCUGGACUCAGGCUUCUUUCUUAGGGCAAUAGAAGCAAGAGCUGCUAGAAGAAACAGGCCAGCAUGGAGUAUCUGUUGGGACCUUUGUUAUCUUCCAGUACUUAAAUAUUUGUUGAAGGAAUUAACUUCUGAGGAAGGAGCUUGGGAAAGAGCUGACAGGGAUUAUUGCACAGGACUUCUCAGCCUUGAAUGUUCUAAUGUAUACUUUGACUCUCAAAGAGGAGUGAAGGUGUAACAUUUUCCCAAUUUAUUUGACCACAGAAUCCUGACUUUGAGGAACACUUAGUACCAUCUUAAUGAACACAGAGUGUUCCAUAAAACAUGGGAACCCACCAGAAACAGCCCUCAGGCCUGCCCAACUCUGAGACCUUUCACUGAUGGCCAGAGAAAGUGAGGACCUUGGGAAACAAAUCACACAGUCUGAUAUCUCCCCACGUACCCAGUGGAGCCCCUGACUUACCAGAAAUGGCAUCAGGCUCAGGUUUGCUCCCUGGCAGAUCCUCCACAGAUGUGCUGCUGCCCUCAGCACCAACACCGCAUCCCCGAGGCCCCAUGGCACUGGAGCGCCGCCGCUCGUGGAUCUCAUCUGAGAUCAUCUCCAGGUUCUUCAGGGCCAUCUUAUAUUCGCCUUUUGCCAGGGUCAGUUUGGCCUGCAGGUCGUCCACAGUCUUUUUCAGUUGCUGGUC